UAUGGAUGGCUGUAUACAAAACAAUUUGAAAUGGUCAAAAUUAAAGCAUUAACCCUUAAUAAACAAAAUUUUGAUGCCAAGAUUGUCCUGUCGAAUUGGUUACAUAACGAUUUUUUAUGGUUAAGUUUUAUGGUUCAAGUUUUUGAUCACCGCGACCACCUUCGGUCUGUCCAAACAAAACGCACAUUUUGCAUAGUGCCCCUUGUGCUAUAUUUGAAUAAGCUAACCAUGGGUUCUUUUGGGUCCAAUGACGUUGAAAACAAAGAUUUCUGUUACCAGUGACGGGAAACUUAAAAGUCUCAGGAGGAGUCCAGGUUUCUUUCAAAGCUUUUAAUUUUUCAUUAUCAUUUUUUGGAGCUUUUGACACAUAUUUGCCAAUAUCGUACUCGUCUUCCAUUAUAACAGAAUCCAGGCUAUCUAAAAAGAAAAACACGUUAAAGAUGGGUGUGAGAUUAAAAUUAAAAUAACUUACUAUGGCCUGUUUCAUCUUUGUUCUUAGAGCUGGAGGGAAUUGAAGCAUCUGUAUUGAUAUCCAUACGCACACUGGGUGUACUUUCAUUGUUUUGCGAGUUCGAUUCGUCGUUGGUUUUCACCUUCUUUGGAAAAAAUGCCAAAAGCGACUGCUGUGAAGUACGUUUCAUUUUUCUUUCACUAAAAUAUAAAACAAUUUCUAGUGUAAAUGCAUAGAAAGUUACGUGUUUUCUAAUAAUAAAAUAGCUUCAAUUAUAAAAGGACCGGUGCUAGACUUAGGCACCUUAUAGCUACAGAGGUAGUGGCACAGUGACUGUAAAAGUAAGUCAUUUCAUCCUGUCUGCCAUUUAUAAAAUUUGGUUAAAUACAACUCAAAGACAAUAAAAAUAUAAAUGGGAGACCUCUAAGUGGAGCUUCUUGUCCAGGGAGGCUCAUAAAGUUGCAAAAAAGUAGCUAUAUAGCUACUUUUUUUGAAACUUUAUGUUUUCCUUAUUUAAGCAUAGAUAUGAACGGGCCUCUCCAAAACAAAGGUUUUACUGUGCUAGAGAAUCAUAUCAGGUAUGUUUUUUAGGCUAUAAUUUAUAAUAUUUAAUUUGGGAUAAAUGAACUGUAAAUGAAUAAUUGGGACUCAUAGAUUUGAGAUGGUGGUGAGCGAGAAUCGAACCAGGCCCUUCGUCAAGUCUAAAAGCAGCCGAAAUUACGUCACAGAUAGACCUCGUCGUUUGUCUCAGCUUUUAGCUAUUUAGUUUAGCUCUGUAAAUUUGCCGACAGGCCGGUUACAAGUAAAACGCAAUGCAAAUACCCAUUCCAAGAUAUUUGAAAGUCGUAAACCAAAGGUAAAGGGAUUAGAAUCAUAAGCCCCUUUCGUUACCAUAACGAUAGAUCGACAAGCCAGCAUUAGUGAGUAAAUAACCUUUACAUUCCAGGUGCCAGGGCCGGGUUUAUGUCUGCUUUGAAACUUAACAACAGGAACAGAUAUUUGCAAAAUCUAAUUCUAUAAGAACAUAAAAAAAUUCUAUUGAUAAAUUAAGAAACAAAUUAAUUUCAAUAAAAAUUUUGGUUUUAUCUAAAUGAAUUCGCUGUUAAUUGAAUUUUAGUGUUAUUUUUAUUUUAGAACUUAACAUUUAUUUGAUAUUUGCAAUAAUAAUUUUUUUUUUCAUUGUUGUUUAUUAGGAUUAGGAUUUACCUGUAUACUGUAUAUUUUCUUCCCUUUGAUCACAAAAAAUGUAAAAAAAACCUAAGUAAAUAAAGGUAAACAUGAACUUUUUUAUAUAUUAAAUCACACAUUUAUAACUAUACCAUGUAUUAUAACUUAUAACUCGGAGAUCAGUAUUAUGUGAAGUGACUAAUAAAUAUAACGUUUACAAGUGUACUCAAUUAAAUACUUUUUUCAUCCAUAGAUGAAAUCAUAUAGGCAGCUAUAUAUAAUGCCACCACCUCUAUUAUGUAACUUUAGUGAGUUUUGCCAUCUGCUUAGCGCAUUAAUUCUUUUUUAUGUUGAUUUUUAAGUUAGUUUUAACGAAACAGCAAUUACAUUAUUAAAUAAGUAUAUGUUAGGGAACUAUAGAUACUUACCACAGAGUUUUCAAGCUUAAAAAAUUGCGCAGCACUCAAAAGUUUACUAAAUUUGCACAAUAUAAACAAAAUGAAGAAAAACACCACACGGAUGUCGCACAGCUACUUUAUCGCGAUCACCACAAACUUUGCAAGUUCAAAAAACUUCGCAGCACUAAAAAGUUUACUCAGUUUGCACAAUAUAAACAAAAUAAAGAAAAACAAUACACAUAAGUCGCACAACUACUCUAGUGAUUCAGUACACAAGACUUAAGACUGUUGUUGACGUCCCACUCCCACGUACCCACGUUGCAGAAAUCAUACGCGGAGUGGAAGACAUGCAGCCACCUUAGUGGUCAGCAACCGCCGUACAAAUUUUCCUCCAAUGUUGCUGAUACAUAAGUGCAUUCAAACUAAGUUUGUUUACUUUAAGUCUAGUUUUUAGAUUGAAUAAUUGUUUACGUAGAAGAAUGAUGAUAAUAAUUGUAUGCAUGGACGAUUCUAUGGGGGGGGGGGGUUUAAACCCCCCCUUAUAUACGUCGUUGCCUCUUCUUAUCUUGAUGAGAUGAAUAAUCUUCUCAAAACUUCCGAUUAUAAAAUUGUUCACAAUGACCCUACUAUAAAUCUAGAAAAGACAUCUAAAACUCUUAUAAUCAAAUCCUUCCCACCUUCCGACAUCAAAGCUAAACUCAUACCUCGAGAAAAAUCAUCCCGCAUUCCUCGUAUAUACGGUCUUCCGAAAAUUCACAAACUCGGUCUUCCACUACGUGCAUUUAAUUGUCCCACCCAACUCUUGACCAAAUAUCUUGCUGGAAUUCUCCUGCCAUUUGCUGAAAAAUCCCAAUCCUACGUCAAAAACUCUCGCCAUUUCAUCGACUUACUCAAAGGUUUCAAUAUUUCCCCCUCAGAUAUUCUUGUCAGCUUUGAUAUUAUCUUCUUAUUUACCAACAUUCCCAUCGAUGAAACUUUGUCUACCUUAAGCACUAGUCACUACAUCGCCCCAUAUUACCUUUCGCUCAUCAAACAUUGUUUGUCCAACACCUACUUCAUAUUCCAAGGAAAUUUCUAUCGGCAACUCAAAGAUGCCCCCAUGUGAUCCCUUCUCUCUCUCGUCAUUGCUAAUAUUUUCAUGGACCAUUUUGAAAAUAAAGCACUAACCUUCUCCCCACUCCAACCAAGUUGUUGGCUACGUUAUGUUGAUGAUACUUCUGUCAUUUGGCCCCAUGGAAGAGAUAUUUUAGAUUACUUCUUACUCCAUCUGAAUGGCGUACAUUUCUGUAUAUAGUUGACGAUGGAUGUGGAGGAGGAGUCAUCUGUGCCGUUCCUUGACGUCAUCAUCAGAAAACUUUCUAUACACGGUUUCUCUCACUUCAUCUAUCGCAAACCCACCCAUACCAAUCGUUUCCUUAGCGCUCAAUCCCAUCAUCAUCCAGCUCAACUCAACUCAAUUCGUAUCACUAUCCAUUUCGUUGAGUGACGAAUCCUACCGACUAUCUGAAAUCAAUUUUUUGAGACAAACAUUGAUUCGGAAUGGUUAUAACAAAUCUCAAAUUUCUAGGAGCAUUCACAAACUUUCAUCUCCAACUCCUCCAUCCCCCUCUCAUGGUUUUAAAGAUCAACUGAGGGUGUCUCUACCUUACAUCAAAGGUGUAACAGACAAAAUUUGCAGAAUCUUCAAACUUCAGUCUCCCAUUUAAUUAGAUUCGUCAAAUGAACACCAUGGAGUGUAUGAAAUCCCUUGCUCAGAGUCCAAACUGUCUGAACACAAGGGAUGACAGCCAGAGAUUGCCGGCAACUUGGAAACACCUUCUUCAUCCACUUCGCUCCUAUGCCACUCCGGCCAACAACACUUACUCUAAAACCCCCCGAGAAGCUCUCCUCCACAAGUUAAUUACCCCUCCCGCCAAUAAUGUAGUUUACAAGCGUGCCAAAAUCUCUAAACUCGCCAAUAGGUCCCCUAUAAUUAAAAGGUUCAGGCGACUAGCUCCUCAGUUAGAUCAAGACCGACAAUGAGAGUAUUAGUGUCAACAGUGUUUUUUAUGCCUUUCAUUUCAUCGGUGGAAUUCCAAGGAGUAAGCCAAAAAAAGGGGGUGAUUCGUUGCGCGGAGUAGGUAGAUUGAGACCACGGAAUAGCAUCACUUGUUAACAAUGAACGAAUAACCAUUUAUUCCCACCUUCUCUUGAUAUAGGCUCCAAAGUGGGAGCCGAAACGUCGAGAGUUUUCAAAAAUCCAACGCGUUUCAAUCCGUGAACCUAGUCCUGUUGUUCAUAAUCCUGACCUUGAAUAACCUUUCACAAAACUGAUAGGAAAUUAUACCCUGACUCAUGCUCCCAGACCACACAUGUUUUCUAUGAAGAUCAUUAUACAUUAUGAAUCUGUCAAAAUUUUGACAACUGAAAAUAACUACAAAAAACGAUCAGUGAAUUAGUAAAAAAGCUGAUUCAAAUUACCUUAGCGUAAUCUAUGAGUAUCUUUCAGAAUCCAAAACAAAAAAUUCUAUAAGAAAAUUCAACGUAUUCUAUAACUAAUUAACCUUACCUAAACUAUCAAAUUCAUAAUGAUCUAACCUUUAAAAUUGAAUAUCAUUGAGAAUCUAUCCAAUAAACAUUCACUGUCAUUUAUAACGACUUAACCGAACCUACCCUAAAAUUUGACAGUUAGUCACAAUAAUAAUAAGAAUCAAUAAACUCCAUAUUUAUGUUCCAUGUCAUUUUGCAUAUUGAUUUUUGAAUCGCACGAAUUUGACAAUUUUUAAAAGAAAAAAAUUCAAAUCACCACAAUCCUCAAUUAGUUAAUAUUAUAUAGAUUAAAAAUGCUUAUGUGCAAGCUUGAAGUUAGGCAAUUAUAACAUAGCUAAUUACGAUUAUUUUCAACCAUUCAUUUUGUGUAAGUUUUGUAACAUAAAAUUGAUUUUAACAGAUUAUUCAGAUUAUUUGAUGCACCACUUAAUGUAGAUGAAACUCCUGCACGAUGGAGCGAAAUUACAAAGAACUUAAGCACUGAAGAGCUCAUUUUCAAGGAAUUUUUAAGUAUUGACGAUGCCUAUAUGCGGGGAGUUAAGCGAUGCAGACAUCAACGCAUCCGUUUCCACAGACGCAGAAGAAGAUGCCAGCGAGGAUAAUAUGCACAGCCAGCUCGAGGAACCGGAUUCAGACCCCACACUUCGUGAUGCUCGAUGUGCUAUUACCAUCUUGCGGAAAUUCUUGCAAAAGAAAACUACAAUUUCCGAUUUUUUUCAAAGCUCAGCUUAAUUUUUUUUCACACAUUGUAUGUAUUUGAUAAUGAAGUCAAUUGUUUUUUUGUUAAAUAAUUACCAAGGAUUGUUCUUAUUCUAAUUACGUAAUUAUUUUAUUUCUAAUUGUUUUUUUAUGUUUGUCUAGCAAUCUUAUCAAUGUUAAUUGGCGUAUAUUGUAUUGUUGUAUAUGUACAAUAUUUUAAUAAAACAGGCACAUUUUUUCUGUAUUA